rfam:Triticum aestivum genome assembly, contig: Triticum_aestivum_CS42_TGACv1_scaffold_404885_5BL
GUAGUAUUCCCUCCGUCCCAAAAUUCUUGUCUUACAUUUGUUUAGAUACAGAUGUAUCUAACACUAAAAUGUAACUAGAUACAUCCGUAUUUAGACAAAUUUAAGACAAUGAUUUUGGGACAGAGGGAGUACAAA